GGCGAUCUACGGGGCCCCUUAAUCGGCGGGGCACCAGCCCAACCAGCAAAACCGAAGCUAUUGGAAAACUGUCCUGUGUGCCAACGCGAGAGAGCAUGUCUUCUUUCUCUAGAUUUUGGACGGCACAACGCCGAUCGUGUGGCCUAUGAACGAAAAACGGGAGAAGGGGAAACCGAUAUCCUUCGAGUGACACACACGCAUGCAUCUGCAUGCGUAUUCCGCUGAACCGAGACUACACAUCUCUCUCGAUCUCCCAUGAUUUUUCUGCUAUCGCGCUCAUCCGGGUGUUAGGCAUCCUCAGUCUGUCCAGAACUUUCACUGUGGAAGGAUGUGUUGGAGUGAUGUGUGAUUUCUUGUGCCCCGUACUUUGCUCGUUUACGUUUUGUGCCGUGUUCCUUCUUCUUCAAUUAUGGAAUGAUUUAUCCUUGUAAAUUUCUAAGUUACAGUGCACGUUAAUCGACGGUUACAGUGCAUGUUAAUCGACGGUUGCCAACAUCCCGCAAAACGAUCGAUGGAAGGAAAACGGUGUCCGGUUUUAAAAUAUAAAGAUUUCAUUACAGCUCUUUCGUAGAAGAGCGCACUUCAAUGACGCCUAGGAUACGGCUAAACAUGCGCAGCACCAGUCCGUGACGUCAUUUCCAGACAGGCGCCGGCUGAACACGCGCAGCACCAGUCGAGGAUAUCCUAGCGCAGAGGGUAGAAGGAAGAACGAGAGGAAGGGUAACAGAAAGCAACCGCAGCAUUUGGAAGGGGUGAAGCAUCCUGCCGUAUACAGAGUGUGAGUGUGCCAAAACGCAUGUGGAAAGAGUAACACCAAUAAAUAGCAUGCGAAAGUGUGCAUAAAGCAAAAAGAAAAAG